rnacentral:rRNA from 1 species
CUGUCUCCUGAAGUCGAUCAAUGAAUUUGAUAACCCAGUACAAACGCUGAAAUAUACACACAAGACGAGAAGACCCUGUGGAACUUUAAAUACUCGCACUAGCAGGCCCCACAAAUACGCCCACACUAGUACAAUUUUAAGUUGGGGCAACUACGGAGUAAAACAAAACCUCCACGAACCGCGACUAGCCCUCGCACACAAGGCGGACACGCCAACAACCAUGCAAAGCUUGAUCCAGUAAAACUGAUUUCCGAACCAAGCUACCCCAGGGAUAACAGCGCCAUCCCCUUCAAGAGCCCAUAUCGCCAAGGGGGCUUACGACCUCGAUGUUGGAUCAGGACACCCAGGCGGUGCAGCCGCUGCCAAAGGUUCGUUUGUUCAACGAAUAAUGUCCU